UGGGGGAUAUUGCACAAUGGGCGAAAGCCUGAUGCAGCAACGCCGCGUGAGGGAAGACGGUUUUCGGAUUGUAAACCUCUGUCUUCGGUGAAGAAACAAAUGACGGUAACCGAGGAGGAAGCCACGGCUAACUACGUGCCAGCAGCCGCGGUAAUACGUAGGUGGCAAGCGUUGUCCGGAAUUACUGGGUGUAAAGGGAGCGCAGGCGGGGAGACAAGUCAGCUGUGAAAUCUAUGGGCUUAACCCAUAAACUGCAGUUGAAACUGUUUUGCUUGAGUGGAGUAGAGGUAGGCGGAAUUCCGAGUGUAGCGGUGAAAUGCGUAGAUAUUCGGAGGAACACCAGUGGCGAAGGCGGCCUACUGGGCUCUAACUGACGCUGAGGCUCGAAAGUGUGGGGAGCAAACA
rnacentral:rRNA from 1 species